GACAAAGACAAGAUGGCAGAUACUCUUUGCAGGUGGCGUUCGCCAUCCCCAAGCCUGAGACAACAAAAACCGAUGACAAACAAACCCCCCAAAAGCUGGAUCAUCUGCAUUGAGCUGCACUGCCCUGCUCUGCUUGGGUUUGAUCCCAUGCUGCGCCACCCAGUUCUGCUCAGAAGGAAAAUGUAUCAGUUCUACAAUUGGAAAAGGUCUUACCAUAUUAUGAUGGAACUAUGAAAAGCUAUUUUAAACUCAAGACAUUCUUUUUCAGGACUGCAGAAGUCAGACUCAAGUUUUUCCAAAAACUUGGUAGGUGUGUUUUACAUCUCACUAUUCAAAUCAGACAUCACAGCAAACAGAAGCCAUUCUAUGGAGAGGCAGCUAAUGACUAGUUAUAUAAAUCCUACUUUUGAGGAAUAUCAUUAGAAAGCACACUUCCAUGCUACCCUUUUGUAGAGAACACACAGAAUGUUGAAACCAUUCUUUUAAUUCCAUUGGUCAUCUGUUGAAGUCCUCACACUUCUUUCAAGAUGGAAAAUUUCUCAUCUUUAUGAUGUUCAUUCCCUUUAGAACAUGGCUACACGAAUAUCACACUUACUGAGAAGUUAGAGAAGCAAAAGGAAUGGGUAAGAAAUAACUGGGUAUGUUCAUCAACAAAAACUUUGACAAGCACAAUACUUGUGGUAUUAAGUGUAAUCUAAAUAAAUAUAUGUAUAUUGCAAUAUAAUUAUGAUAUAAAAUAUUUUUGUUUGGGUAUAUAC